AUGAGAAUGCACGAUAUUGAUGAGGUCUUAAGAUGGAUGCCGAGUGGCCGCUUCCUGACCGAAAAGAUGUGGAGCGGACUGCUGCCUCCUGGCCUAAAUGAAAGUGAUAUUGAGUCGAAUUCUGAAGAUGAGGCCACAUCACAGAACUUUGAUCAUAACUUACAGGAAGAUAAAGAGGCUGGGACCAUUAAAGACACAGAAGUCUCAGAUUUGUCAGCAGAUGGACCAAAAAUUGAAACAGAGGCCAAGGCAAAUGCAUAUGAAGAGUGCCCUUCUGGAAUUCCCUUAAAUAUGUGGAACAAAUUUCAAGAAUUGCAUAAGAAACAUUCUGAACAGAAAACUGCGGCCUCAAGAUUCAAAGUGAGAAAGAGAAAACGCUCCAGAAAAGGUGUUUUCUUUUAAUUCAGAUUGUCCAUAGUCCCGAUGCUAAAUUGUGACUUCAUUUGUGACCAAUUGAAUUAAAUAAUUUUUUAAAACCAUUUUGAAAAAACUGAAGUAUUGAUGCUUUGUGAAUUCUUUUCAGGUAAAUUGAAGAAUGAAAAAGAAUCUCGUAGGUAGGAAGAAUUUUAAAUAGUUAUUUACUUUAGGCAGUAUUUGUAGAACUUGUCAAAUAGCUAAACUCAUUUCUAAUAGUAAUCAAACAUAAAGAUCUAAUGAUUAUAAUUAUAGCAAAUUAAACAUAGUAAAAAUAAAAAUGAGUAAAACAAAACUUAAAAGUUUAUUUUCUUGCAGUGAGCAGUCCCUAAAUGAAACCCAGUGGAAGGAGCUUACUCAGUAUUUUGGAGCCAAUGAUAGAUUUGAACCCCCUGUUAAAAAGAAAAAGGUUGAAAAGGUAGGAUCUUUUAAAUUGUAUUUUGUAUUAAAUGGUAGUGUAUGUUUGUGAUUAGUCUUACCUAAGGUACUUGUUCAUUGAUUCAUUUGAUUAAGAAGUUAAAACAACUAUUAUGUACCAAAAAGAUGUCAGAUAAACAAGUAGAUGUAUAAUUACAAAUCAUUUAAAAAUUGUUAGAGGGCCGGGGAUUUAGCUCAGUGGUUCCGCCGCUUGCUUUGCAAGCGCAAGGACCCGAGUUCGAUCCCUGGUACCUAAAAAAUAAAAAUAAAAAUUGUUGGAAAGGAAAAGAAUAGAUUGUAGCGAAGAAGGAAAAUACGACCCUUACUUGAGUUUGGAUAGUAAGGGAAAGCCCUUCUUAGAAGAUACCAUUUCAGAAAAACCUAUAGGGUGGGGGAAAAAACUACAUAAAGGAUGAUUGUGCAGAGGCAAUAACAUGGGUAAAGAUCCUAGGAAGAGUUAUCCUAGGGCCUUUGAAUAACUAAAAAGACCACCCUGGCUGCAACUGAAUCAGCAUAGCGAGGGUGCCCUGAGAUAAGAGUGGUCAGGCUGGAGGGAGAGACCAAACUGAAUAGGACCUCAGAAGACAUAGCAGGGAAAUAGUAUUUAUUUACAGUGAUGUAAUCAAAUUUAUAUUUUAAAAGAUUGCAGUGGCCAUUAAAUGUGGAGAAAACAUUAUGGGGCAACAAAAGUAGAUAAGAAAUCAGUUAAACUUGUAGGCACAAGAUAAUGGUGAAUUGAGCAAGAAUGGCACUGCUGAAGAUGGAGAAAACUGGGUGGACUUGAGGAAUAGUGUAAAAGUAGAAUCAACAGCAUUGGCUUCUGCAUUGUGUAUGAAUUGCUGGGGAGGCUUUGGGGCAUAAGGAGGAAGAGAACGAUUCAGGGUUUUGCUUUAAACAGUGGUGUGCACGGUGAUGUUUAUAAAGAUAAGAAAGUUUGGGAAGGGAAGCAGUGUUCAAGUGCAGCCUAUGCAGAGUUCAUUUUGGGGUAUGGGUAUUCAGUGGCAUCAAGGAACAGUGUACAAUUAGUAAAAAGCAAUAGAGGUUCAGGAGAGAGGCUGAGAUUGAGAAAUGUCAGUCUGUAGAACAGAGGAAAGGUUUGAAAGAGUAACACGUAAUCAUAGAGGAAUGUUGACAGGUUAAAUAUUGGUUCUACUGGGAUUUUUUUUAAGCAUUUGUGAAUUAGUCUUUGAUUUGUA
rnacentral:lncRNA from 1 species